rnacentral:rRNA from 1 species
UACAGGAGGGGCAAGCGUUGUUCGGAAUUAUUGGGCGUAAAGCGCGUGUAGGCGGCUUGGCAAGUCGGGUGUGAAAUCCCUCAGCUUAACUGAGGAAGUGCGCCCGAAACUGCCGAGCUUGAGUACCGGAGAGGGUGGCGGAAUUCCCCAAGUAGAGGUGAAAUUCGUAGAUAUGGGGAGGAACACCGGUGGCGAAGGCGGCCACCUGGACGGAUACUGACGCUGAGACGCGAAAGCGUGGGGAGCAAACAGG